rnacentral:rRNA from 1 species
UGAGCAACCUGCCCUUAGCUCUGGGAUAACCCCGGGAAACCGGGGCUAAUACCGGAUACGAGUCCGAGCGGCAUCACGCGGACUGGAAAGUUUUUCGGCUAAGGAUGGGCUCGCGGCCUAUCAGCUUGUUGGUGGGGUAAUGGCCUACCAAGGCGACGACGGGUAGCCGGCCUGAGAGGGUGACCGGCCACACUGGGACUGAGACACGGCCCAGACUCCUACGGGAGGCA